rnacentral:rRNA from 1 species
GCUUUAUAUUGAUAUUUAUUUGAUUAAAUUUGUGUUAAAUAAAAAUUUAGUAAAUAAAUUUAUUUUAUUGGGGCGAUAAAAGUAAAAUUAUUAUUAACUGCUUGAAUUUAAAUACAAUAUAUAAAUGAUUAAAUUUUUGGAUGAUCCUGAUUAAAGAUUAAAAGUUUAAGUU